AAGCUGUUUGUCUUUUCCAUCUGGGCUGCAGACUGAGAUGAGAAGGUCAGGGGCAUAGUCUAUGGGCAGAACACACGCCAGAUUUUGGAGGACUGUGUGCAUAAGGAGUCCAGCCAUUCUCACAGAACAAACACUCAGCACAUGUCACCCUGGGGGGCAGAACAGUGGGUGUGUUAUCCGGAGGUCUCCUCUUGGAAUGCUGGUUGCCUAGCAACAAAAU
ensembl:misc_RNA